AUGUGUGUAUAUAAAUCCUUUUUUUUAUUGACCAUGCUUUUAAUUUCCUAUAAGGUAUUUGAUUGGCUUAGAAUGAUAAAAAUUGUUCCACUCAUUCCAAUUACAUUGAUUGCUGUCUAUUUAAGUGGUGGUUUGAAUGUUGGUUUUAAUGUAUCAAACAUGGAAUCAAAACCAAGAAGGGCGAGAAAGCCCAACUGGACAGAGGAGCAGUGUUUACUGUUAGCCCAGUUAGUGGAUGAACACAAGGCCAUUCUUAAAGGAAAAUUCGGGCCGGGUGUCACAGCACGGGACAAGAAGCAGACAUGGGAGCGUAUAGCACAAACUAUUAACGGUUCAUUCCCCCUGCUUGUGCGGACCAGUGAAGACUGUGAAAAACGCUGGUAUGUGCUGCAAUCAAAAGCCAGAGAGGAAAUUGCAGCACACAAGCGGGAGUCAUCAUGCACAGGGGGGGGACCACCUGCUAAACAGCUGUCCCAAGUAGCCCAAACCGUGUUCAACAUCUUAGGUCACUCAGAAACAAGUAUUACCGGUUUGAAGGAGGGCACAGACAGCUCAAUGAUUCAGCUGGUGGAACUACAAAAAUGUAGCACAGAGCUUUCAGCAGAGGAAUGGGGACCGUCGACAUCGCAGAUGGGUGACCCUCAGCCCGAAGCGCCUCAUUCCCUGCCUUCUGCUGCCACUGCAGCUGCUCCAACACCAUCCCUAGAAGACAAAAAACUGGAGAUGGAGAUGGAUGUCCUAAAGCAGCAGAAAAUAGUACUUCAUCAAGACAAAAAACUGGAGAUGGAGAUGGAUGUCCUAAAGCAGCAGAAAAUAGUACUUCAUCUACAGGAGGAGUACUACAAACUAAAAAUUGAGCUACUCAAAAAUAAAACUAAUAACAAAUAAUAUGUUUUUUGUUGUCUUCAUAAUAUCUUUCUAAUGAAAAUGUUGGCUAGUGUCUGUUUUGUCACUAUUUUUAUAUUGCAUUCAAUGUAACUUACAUGAAAUGCAAAUUAGUAAACUGGGCUCUGUAAGGAUUCCCACUUUGGGACAGAUCCCUCCCUUGUGGAGGGUAUUCUUCAUCAUCAUCUUCAUCAGCCCGAUUGUCCGUGGGAGGGUCUGCAAUUUGUCUAGCUUUACAGAUGUUAUGAAGCACUGCACAGGCUGUUAUCACUUUGCAGACCUUUCCUGGUGCCAGUCGCACCUCUCCAUGCAAAAUGUGAAAGCGCCUCUUUAGUUGACCAAUACCCCGCUCAACUACGGCUCGUGUUUUCUUGUGAGCUCUGACAGUUAAUGAAAUAUUUUCAAAACAUAAUGGUAGGUUAUUUAUGGGGAGUAGCCUACAAAUACUACUGCAACACAUGUGUUGUUCUCAAAAUUUGAAGUCCACACACAUUAAGUGUAUGUUGUCACCGUUACCUGUUGUAAUUUAGCUGUGACCCCUGGUCAGGAUGGAGGUAAGGUGUGAGGAGCCAUGGUUUACAAGGAUAACCACUGUCCCCUAACAAGUGGCAAUUUGCUGGAAUACGACGUCCUUCAAACAGAUGUCUCAGGCCACUCUCCGCCAGUAUCCUGGCAUCAUGUGUUGCACCGGGCCAUUUUGCAACAAUGUCUACAAUCCUAUAAUCUGCACUGAAAACAACUUGAACGUUUAUGCUGUGGUACCUCUUUCUAUUAACAUAAACGUACUCGUCUUCCGACGGUGCAAUAAUUCGGAUGUGGGUUCCAUCAAUUACUCCGACAACACCAGGGAUGCCUGCUAUAUUCAUAAAUGCAGUUUUUUGAGCCUGCAAGGUGGGAAUGUCCAGUGGAAACAAAUUAAUUGUGACACAAUAAGAGGUUCUGAAAGUGCUGUAAUUGUUUGUGUGAUCACUCACUUACAGAAGGUUGUGACAGACCCAAAUCAUCAUUGCAUUUCCCAGUUGCCAUAUAUCGUAAUGUAGUGAUUACUUUCAGUUCUGGCGCUAUGGCAUUUCUGCGCUGUGUCGGAGAUGUUAGCGCGUCU
rnacentral:lncRNA from 1 species